rnacentral:piRNA from 1 species
UUCAAUUGUAUUCGACAGUGG